GGGCCUAUAGUGAAGUGGUAUCACACGUCCAUGGCAUGGACGGGGUCGGGGUUCGAUUCCCCGUAGGUCCACAA
rnacentral:tRNA from 1 species